CAGUGCGAGCAGUUUGGGUUUCACCUCCAUCUCUCCUUCUCUCACUCUUCAUCUCCGCAUUCCCACCCCCCGCACAGGAGUCUUGGACUUCCCCUUCCUUUCUCGCUCUCUUGCCAUCUUUCCCGUUCCCUAUUUCUUUCUCGUAUUUCGCUCUAGGUCUCUGAUAUCCCUGUGUGUGUGUGCUCAAGUGGCGACAUAUCUCUCUUCACCUUUCCGCUAUCUCGCUUACCUACCAGAGAAGGAACGCACGCAGCUUCGCCCACUUGAGGCCGCUGCUGUCCGCGAUGGCUUGUUUUGCCAGACUUGGUUGGACAGCUGCUCUGGCGGCGGUGCUUAUUGCGUGCGCCAUCUCUAUUGCCCAUGCGCAGAGCACCAUUGCGAGAGAUGGGGCCGCGGAUGCGGCAGACAUCCUGAAGGUGCUCCAGGUGAAUGUGCUGCAUCGCCAUGGUGCUCGCUCUGGCCUACCGCGUGAAAACACUACGGAGAUUUGCACCGAGUCUCCGUGCGGGUACCUCUCGUGGGCGGGUAUUGAGAUGCUGCUCAAGGUUGGCGGCUUCCUGCGCACCCGCUACAACACUGAUCCAUCCGUGGUGAGCUCGCCGAUGUUCGAGUCGCCGAACUAUGACUUGGAUGUCGCAUACAGCCGCUCCACCGACGUUCUGCGCACCCUGCAAAGCGCCGAGGCCUUCCUGCGUGGCUUCUUCCCCAACAUGAGCAGCCUCUACGCUGCUAUCCACACCAUGCCAGAGUCGACCGAUGUGCUGCUGAACAGCAACACGCAGCCGUGGCUCAAGUUCUUCUAUUCCAACAACAAGGCGCUGCUCCGCGCCGUGUGCAACCCGCUGACGGAUGAGCUUUUCCCCGACUGGACGGAGAUAACAAAGAUUGGCGCAGAGAUCUAUCAGGAGGGCUACUGCAGCGACUACGAGACUCGCUCCGACUGCGUGCGCACACUUUUUGAUAUUGGUGCUGCGAAGAAGGCCAUUGGCGAGCUAAACCAGUACCCGCUGCUGGAGGCUAACUUCGAAAAGCUGAAGCGCGUCACGACUGUCCUGUUCGACUACGAGUACCACUACAACCACAGCGACCCGCUCAUGUUCAAGCAGGGCGGCCGCGGGCAGCCGUUCGUUCAGCAGAUGGUGAAGAACAUGGAGGGCGUGAUUGAUGGCUCGAACACAUACAAGUUGAUGCACUACAGCGCUCACGACACCUCGCUUGGCCCAGUGUGGGGUACGCUGGGUGACCGCACCCCGGAUGGUAUGAUGCCGCCUUUUGCCCAAGUGCUCGUGGCUGAGCUGCUACAGAACCCGUCGACCGGCGCGCACUAUGUUCGCAUCCUGCGCGGCAACCCUGGUCAGAGCCCUGACACAAAGUUCGAAUUUGGGUGGGACUCGAAGUGGCAGAUGCAGUGCAUCGACGCCCUCGGCACCGCCUACAAGGCGGAGGGGAACAUUUGCCCGUUCGACGACUUCAAGCGCUUCGUCAAGUGGUCGGAGCCGGCGGACGCGCGCGGCUACUGCUACCUUGAUCAGGUGUCCAUUGACAUCGCCGACUGCCCCUUGGAGCCGGUCGCCUACGGCACUCCUCCCACUGCCCUGGUCCCCAGUACGUGCCGGUUCUACCGCUCUGCGUGCCCGCAGUUUGCCUGCGGGAUCGGCGAAACCCUCAACAGCGUCAGCAUGCAGUGCGUCUGCUCCAAAGACAGCUGCCUGGGAGGCAAGACCAACGAGGAAAGUAGUGGUGAUGCCGCUGUGGACGCCGACAAGAAGCCUACGCUGCGUGACUCCAACGGCCUCAGUGGCGGUGCUGUUGCGGGCGUGUCACUGGCAACCUUCUGCGCUGGCGCCAUCAUCGCUGUGGCAGCCACAGCUGCAAUAUGCAUGUGCAAAAGGCGCCGCCAGCAUCAGCUGUACGUGCGCAUGAGCUCGACGAUGGAGGUGGGAAACCAGCCCAACGAUGAGAGGGAGGGGGCGGCGAAGGAGUUCAAGGAGGGCAUCUAAGCGCGAGAAGCAAGCAACAGGGGUGCAGCUGGGCCUGUAGCGAUGGAACCAGAACCUCUUUUUGACCAUUAUCUGAGCGUUUUCUCUGCAGCUCCGCGUACUUGACCGAGAGUAUGUGCGUAUGGACGGGGUGGGGUCGGGGGCGGCAGUGCGCGUAACUGUAGAUGUGUGUAUGCUUGUUUUUGCUUUCUUAUUUGGUUGACACUUUUUGUAUGUUUUUCUUCCUGCCCUUUUUUGCCUUUAUCUUCACUGUGACGGCACCCUCGUAGAUCAUGCUUUCUCUGCACAUCACACAGUCGUUGCGUGCGCGCGUACGCACCUCCCUCGUUUCCUCCCCCUUCCUUUCGUCUUUCUACAUUCAAAGACUCUUCUGUGGACUCGAAGAGCGAGAGAGGCCUACGGCAUCAUUUGCUGUGAAGGAAGAGGAAGCGUUCAACACCGCCGCGUGGCACCAGGAGGCGCGAGAAAGAGGGGUGGUGGUGUUGAUGUGCGACGGAUACAUGCCGAACAUUGGGGUACAUAAGAAUAUAUAUAUAUAUAUAUAUUAUCUCUGUUUCGCCUUUGUGAACUAGCUGCGCAUCGCGUUCUUUGCUAGCACUCCAUUUUUUAUUUUUUUUGUUGACUACGCCCACUGCAGCAGCCUCCCUCCCCCUUUUCCAUCGGCUUCCCUCCAACACAGUCGUCACUUUGCCCGCAAUCAGAAGCGUUCAUUAGUGAGCACAGCAAAAAAAAAGAGAGCGGCCAAGUGAGCUGUGUGUUUCAAUCGCAGUGUAGUGCGACCCACUAUUCUUGCUCCUUCCCUUCUGAACUUGAGCGUGCGCGUGUGUGUGUGCGCGCGCAACUCUCCUGCGUUCAUUUCUUUUGUUUUCAUGAGUGCGUGUGCGUGACAUGCGCCUGUGGACCGUUGAUAAUAUUUUCCCUAUUGACUUGAACGUAACGAAGGGUUUCUGGAGAGGGAGUGGAGAGGAGGCGAUGGGAAUGCGGACGGUGGCAAUGCGUUAUCGCGCACUACCGAAGAGAAAGGCGACGAAAAAAAAGCAGCGGCAUUCAUGUGAUUGGGCGCUGUGUAUGCGUGUGCGGACGCCUCUCUCUUUUCCUCCUUCAGCGUAUCCGUUGCAUCAGCGUCUCCGUGCCAGUAAUUGUUAUAAUUAUUAUUCUUUUUUCCGCUUCCCUUUUCCAUUCACCUUCCCCCCUCCGUACCCCCCCCCCCCCCCCCACUUUCCGUCACGCAACCGAGGCGCAGUUAUUGACCCACACCUUAUGCCUCUUUUUCUUUUUUCUUGCUUUGAUUCUUCUUCCCCCCUCCUCUCCUCUCUUUAACCGUCUUUGCUCCUUUGUUCUCCUCUUGUGUUCCGUAGUGCACGCAUGUCUGCUGCCACGCGUGUGAAGGGUUGGACAAGCACUGCGCAACGAGGAAGAAACGCAAAAAGGAAAGCUCCAAGUCGUUGGCCAAGUUGAUGUCAUCGUCUACAUAAAUUGCUCUCCCUUACUGUUUGCACACGCCCUCACACAAACACCUCUUCUGAUACAGUACUGAAACAAGCGACACGAAGGAAAAGCAAAGACAUCGAAAAGGAAAACGAAGAAGACGGCGAUAUGCGUGUGUGCCAUAUUCUUCUUUCAUCUUUCCUUCUCUGUCUUUCCCCGUUUCUCUUUCUCCUUGCCCCUCCCUCCCCCUUUCUCCUUGUCCUUUGUCGGCAUAUUCGUUCGUGUUCUUUCAAGCAUACACAUAUGUCUUGACUUCCUUUCUUUUCCUUUUAUGGUGAUGGUAGCAUCCCGCAGAGAGACCGCACAGAGAUAAAUGACUAACGAAAGCAAAACAAGAAGAAAAGAGUAUUGUCGUUUCCUUUGUUGUUGAUUUCUCCUCUGCCCCUCCAUCUUUUCGCUUCCUUCCACCUUUUUUUCCCUCGCCGAUCUCUUUGUAAGCUAAGCUGGGCCGCCGCUUCUCUCUUCUAUAGACUUCUCAUACACGCUCAAGGUGUGCGAUCCACCUCUGUGCUUGUGUAUGAGGGAGGCUGUGCGCACACAUUCUCCUUUUUUUUUUACUCUCUCUUCUGCCUGUUUGUCUGUCUAUUGACCUUCAAUGUACGCGCGCUAUCAUCAGCUAUCUACUCUACACCCCCCUCUGCGCCGUCUUUAUUUUACGAAUCGCUCUUCUCCCUCCUCCCUCCUCCCUCCUCCCUCCUCCCCUCAAUCCCCCUCCCUCCCACACACAGACACCGCUUGCUCACGCAUGUGCACACACCUAAGGAGCAAGACAAGGACAAGUCCGUAAGAAGACAGUGCAGCAUUGCUCGUUCUCUUUCUCUUGACCUGACUUGCCGUGCACAAAAUAGUACCACAGAGAAGGAGAGGAGGAUGACCGAGGGAGGGAGGGGGUCAAGUGCAGUGUGUGAUGCUUCCAGGCGAGCCGACAUAGCAAGUAAGAGAGAAUCACAUAUCUUGACUUAUUAUUGAUAUAGCAUUUCUCCACUCUCUCGCUCUCGCACGUAUAAAAGAAAAGAGAGCUCGAUGCGUAACGAAGGGGCUAAUACGCAUCAAGGCCAAACGCCGCAAGGACUGCAAG
rnacentral:misc_RNA from 1 species